ensembl:antisense
CCAAACGCAAGGGUGUUCCAGGUAUACCCCAGCCACUCCUGCUGUUGAUGAACCGUUUAUAACGUUCCUGGUGUAGAAGGUGGUCCAGGGUACAGGAGUCAUUGUCAUAUACAGCUUGAUUGAGAGCCUGUUUUUCCCCGGUGCCAGUGUCCUCCUCCUCCUUUUCAGGUUGCAGAAGAGAGAAGAUCUUGGCGAUAUCCAUGAGGUUCAUUCUGGUUUAUUCGAAUAGCACUAUCUCAUUGCAAGGAGGAGGAAAUUCCAGAUCUCUUUUCUUUGUGCUGCUUAUUAGGGAUGGAAAAGCUUUCGUUGUUUUCACUGGGUCUUAGCUAGUGUUGGGAUUGAAGGUCCUGAUGAACUAAAAUGUUUCUCUAUCUUUUCACUUGUUGCUGCAGGCUGUGGAGGUGGGCUUCCCAAAGCUUCUUGGAUCACUGAUUAUUGUGACGAUCUUCUGGCUGACUAAUGCCGAGUAUGUAACAGACAAGGACUCAAACUGCCUUUUCCUGCUCCACUGCUGCUGUUUCCAAGUGAGCCCUGUUGGAAGCUAUGUUCUUCCCAUAGUAAUCGGGGAAGUAGAUUUACUUCCCUUGUCUUACUGACCAU